GACGAACGCUGGCGGCGUGCCUAAUACAUGCAAGUUGAGCGCUGAAGGUUGGUACUUGUACCCACUGGAUGAGCAGCGAACGGGUGAGUAACGCGUGGGGAAUCUGCCUUUGAGCGGGGGACAACAUUUGGAAACGAAUGCUAAUACCGCAUAAAAACUUUAAACACAAGUUUUAAGUUUGAAAGAUGCAAUUGCAUCACUCAAAGAUGAUCCCGCGUUGUAUUAGCUAGUUGGUGAGGCAAAGGCUCACCAAGGCGAUGAUACAUAGCCGACCUGAGAGGGUGAUCGGCCACAGUGGGAAUGAGACACGGCCCAAACUCCUACGGGAGGCAGCAGUAGGGAAUCUUCGGCAAUGGACGAAAGUCUGACCGAGCAACGCCGCGUGAGUGAAGAAGGUUUUCGGAUCGUAAAAAUCGGUUGGUAGAGAAGAACGUUGGUGAGAGUGGAAAGCUCAUCAAGUGACGGUAACUACCCAGAAAGGGACGGCUAACUACGUG
rnacentral:rRNA from 1 species